AGGAUGAACGCUAGCGGCAGGCCUAACACAUGCAAGUCGAGGGGCAGCAUAAAACAAGCUUGCUUGUUUGGUGGCGACCGGCGCACGGGUGCGUAACGCGUAUGCAACCUACCCUGUACUGAGGGAUAGCCCGAAGAAAUUCGGAUUAAGACCUCAUAGCACUAGAAUACCGCAUAGGUAAAUUAGUUAAAGGUUACGGUACAGGAUGGCAUGCGUCCCAUUAGCUAGAUGGUAAGGUAACGGCUUACAGUGGCAACGAGUGGGUAGGGCCUGAGAGGGU
rnacentral:rRNA from 1 species